rnacentral:rRNA from 1 species
AGUGAAUAGAUACCCCGGUAGUCCACGCCCUAAACUAUGUCAACUAGGUGUUGGGUGGGUAAAACCAUUUAGUACCGUAGCUAAACGCGUGAAAGUUGACCGCCUGGGGAGUACGGCCGCAAGGUUAAAACUCAAAGGAAUUGACGGGGACCCGCACAAGCGGUGGAUGAUGUGGAUUAAUUCGAUGCAACGCGAAAAACCUUACCUACCCUUGACAUGCCAGGAACUUGCCAGAGAUGGCUUGGUGCCCGAAAGGGAGCCUGGACACAGGUGCUGCAUGGCUGUCGUCAGCUCGUGUCGUGAGAUGUUGGGUUAAGUCCCGCAACGAGCGCAACCCUUGUCGUUAAUUGCCAUCAUUUGGUUGGGCACUUUAACGAGACUGCCGGUGACAAACCGGAGGAAGGUGGGGAUGACGUCAAGUCCUCAUGGCCCUUAUGGGUAGGGCUUCACACGUCAUACAAUGGUCGGUACAGAGGGUUGCCAAGCCGCGAGGUGAGCCAAUCCCAGAAAGCCGAUCGUAGUCCGGAUUGCAGGCUGCAACUCGCCUGC